GCUAAGCCAAAGGCCAGGUGGAACAACUCUGUCUUACAGGCCCUGCGGAAAGAAAUCAGAUCCUGCAGGGCCCUGGUCUCAUGAGACAGAGUGUUCCACCAGGCCGGAGUCAGUGUUGAGAAGGCCCUGGCUCUGGUUGAGGCUAAUCUAACUUCCUUAGGGCCCGGGACCUCUAGGGUGUUGCUAACCCUAACUUUAAGGUCCUCCGUGGGGCAUACCAGGAGAUGAGUCAUGUUCUCAUGUUCAAAUGUUGCCGCUUUAAAAUAUAAGUAGCUGGCCUUGGCUCAAUGAAUGUAAAGGUUUAUUGUACCUUGCCACCCUUCAUUAUUCUAGCCUGCCCGGCAGAGAACCAUCCCGUCCUCUAAACCCAGCAUGCCAAAGUGGCUGACCCAGAGGUAUAGAUUUGGGUUGAGGUCCAAAGCCCUUAUGCAGCAUCUGUUGCUAGCUGGGGCAGAAUCGAGUUGAAAUGGAGCCAGCAAUGGGAGGAAGCAUUUCAAGCUCACAGCCAAGGCAAAUUUGACCAUAUCAAUCAUACAUCAGCACCUGGAGUACAGAUUACAGGUUCAAAUGAUUAUUGCAAGACUUCUGCAAUUCAGAGAGUGGCGUUGGCAGUGGACAGCAGAACAAAAGAAUAUGUUAUCACAAACUGACCAAAGCAUAUCGUAAAGUGCAGGGAUUGGUAAGUAGAGUGGAGCCUCUAUAAUCUGACCUUGACGUUACGGUACACCGUUCUAUGCAGAUAUAAGCCA
rnacentral:lncRNA from 1 species